AUGGAUAUGGAGGAGGCCAGGCAAUGUCGUUCUGCCAUCUUCCUCACGUCCUUCCUCUCCCUCGCCUUUCUCAUAUGGCCGAUUCCAAUGCCGGCCGCCACCAAGGAGAUGAGGUCCAUCUACGCCGGCACGAGGGUCAAGCUGGUACGGUUGGGCCGGCCGGCGUUCGGCCCUGAGAGCCUCGCUUUUGACCACCGUGGCGGUGGCCCGUACACCGGGGUUUCCAAUGGCCGCAUCCUCCAGUGGAAGGGCAAUCGCCGCCACCUCGGCUGGACCGAGUUCGCCCACAAUUACAAGCAUAGGACCGUGGUGGAGUGCGCAGCGAAGAAGAAGCUGGUGGAGCCCGAUGGCUCGUGCGGGCGGCCGCUGGGCCUGCAAUUCCACCGUGCGUCCGGUGACAUGUACAUCGCCGACGCGUACCUGGGGCUGAUGAGAGUGGGGCGAGGCGGCGGGCUGGCAGAGGUGGUUGCCACGGAGGCCGGCGGCGUGCCCUUCAAGUUCCUCAACGGGGUGGACAUCGACCAGGAGACCGGGGACGUCUACUUCACGGACAGCAGCACCAUCUACCAACGGAGUGAGUAUCUGCUGGUGGUGCUGAGCGGCGACGCGACGGGGCGGCUCAUGAGGUACGACCCACGGACGGGUGACAUCACCGUGCUCAGGUCCGGCCUGGCCUUCCCCAACGGCGUGGCCAUCAGCGCCGACCGUACACACCUCAUCGUCGCCGAGACGUCGCCAUGCAGGCUUCUCCGACACUGGCUGCACGGACCCAUGGCAGGGGAGACUGAGGUGCUUGUUGAGCUGCCGGGGUACCCAGACAACGUGCGGCCCGACGGAGGCGACCGGCGCGGGUACUGGGUGGGAUUUAACCGAGACAAGCAGUGGGAAGAGAACGGGACCACAGCCAACUCCAUGAGCGCCGUCAGGGUCGACGUCACCCGAGACGCCAAGAACGGCACGGUGGCUGUGGCGUUGCGUGGGUACGGUGACGCCACGGUUAGCGAGGUGGUGGAGCGGAACGGGUCUCUGUGGAUCGGCUCCAUCGACACGCCCUACAUCGGCCUCUUGAAGCUUGCACCUCUCUAA
rnacentral:rRNA from 1 species